rnacentral:rRNA from 1 species
UCGGCAAAACGCUCAGUAACACGUCGGUAAUCUGCCCUCUGGUCAGGGAUAAGCUCGGGAAACUGAAGGUAAACGAUGAUAGGAAAAUCGCCUGGAAUGGUUUUUUCCGAAACUCGUGCCAUAGGAUAGGCCGGCGGCGGAUUAGGUUGUUGGUGGGGUAAUGGCCCACCAAGCCGACGAUCCGUACGGGCCAUGAGAGUGGUAGCCCGGAGAGGGACACUGAGAUACUGGUCCCAGCCCUACGGGGUGCAGCAGGCGCGAAACCUUCACAAUGCACGCAAGUGUGAUGAGGGAACCCUAAGUGCUCAUGAAAUGCAUAGGCUUUUGCCAAGAGUAAAUAUCUUGGAGAAUAAGUGGUGGGUAAGACUGGUGCCAGCCGCCGCGGUAACACCAGCGCCACAAGUGGCAACCACGUUUAUUGGGCCUAAAGCGUCCGUAGCCGGUUUGGAAAAUCUCUUGUGAAAUCGUCAGGCUCAACCUGACGGCGUGCAUGAGACACUGCCAGACUCGAGACCGGGAGGAGUUAGAGGUAUUCCAUGGGGAUCGGUAAAAUGAGAUAAUCCAUGGAGGACCACCGAUGGCGAAGGCAUCUAACCAGAACGGAUCUGACGGUCAGGGACGAAGGCUAGGGGAGCGAUCCGGAUUAGAUACCCGAGUAGUCCUAGCAGUAAACGCUGCGAGCUAGGUGUUGCAUAUCCUACGAGGAUGUGCAGUGUCGAAACGAAGGUGAUAAGUUCACCGCCUGGGAAGUACGGUCGCAAGCCUGAAACUUUAAGGAAUUGGCGGGGGCGCACUACAAGGGGUGCGGCGUGCGGUUUAAUCUAACUCCACACAGAGAAUCUCACCAGAGGCGACGGCAGGAUGAAGGUCAGUCUGAAGGGCUUACCUGACGAGCCGAGAGGUAGUGCAUGGCCGCCGUCAGCUCGUGCCGUAAGGUGUCCUGUUAAGUCAGGCAACGAGCGAGACCUGUAUCCACAAUUGCUAACGACUCAUUUGAGGAUCGAGCACAUUGUGGGGACUGCCUUGGAAACAAGGAGGAAGGUGCAGGCAACGGUAGGUCUGUAUGCUCCGAAUCUUCUGGGCUACACGCGCGCAACAAUGGUACAGACAAUGGGCUGCAACUCCGAAAGGAGAAGCUAAUCCUCGAAACUGUAUCUUAGUUCAGAUUGAGGAUUGUAACUCAUCCUCAUGACGCUGGAAUCCCUAGUAAUCGAAUAUCAUCAAAUUCUGGUGAUAUGUCCUGCUCCUUGCACACACCGCCCGU